GGGAUUGCCCUAGUAACGGCGAGUGAAGCGGCAACAGCUCAAAUUUGAAAUCUGGCGUCUUUGGCGUCCGAGUUGUAAUUUGCAGAGGGCGCUUUGGCAUUGGCAGCGGUCCAAGUUCCUUGGAACAGGACGUCACAGAGGGUGAGAAUCCCGUACGUGGUCGCUAGCCUUUACCGUGUAAAGCCCCUUCGACGAGUCGAGUUGUUUGGGAAUGCAGCUCUAAAUGGGAGGUAAAUUUCUUCUAAAGCUAAAUACUGGCCAGAGACCGAUAGCGCACAAGUAGAGUGAUCGAAAGAUGAAAAGCACUUUGGAAAGAGAGUUAAAAAGCACGUGAAAUUGUUGAAAGGGAAGCGCUUGCAGCCAGACUUGCCUGUAGUUGCUCAUCCGGGUUUUUACCCGGUGCACUCUUCUAUAGGCAGGCCAGCAUCAGUUUGGGCGGUUGGAUAAAGGUCUCUGUCACGUACCUCCUCUCGGGGAGAACUUAUAGGGGAGACGUAAUGCAACCAGCCUGGACUGAGGUCCGCGCAUCUGCUAGGAUGCUGGCGUAAUGGCUGUAAGCGGCCCGUCUUGAAACACGGACCAAGGAGUCUAACAUCUAUGCGAGUGUUUGGGUGUCAAGCCCGAGCGCGUAAUGAAAGUGAACGGAGGUGGGAACCUUUCGGGGUGCACCAUCGACCGAUCCUGAUGUCUUCGGAUGGAUUUGAGUAAGAGCAUAGCUGUUGGGACCCGAAAGAUGGUGAACUAUGCUUGAAUAGGGUGAAGCCAGAGGAAACUCUGGUGGAGGCUCGCAGCGGUUCUGACGUGCAAAUCGAUCGUCAAAUUUGGGCAUAGGGGCGAAAGACUAAUCGAACUAUCUAGUAGCUGGUUCCUGCCGAAGUUUCCCUCAGGAUAGCAGUAACGUUUUCAGUUUUAUGAGGUAAAGCGAAUGAUUAGAGGCCUGGGGGUUGAAACAACCUUCACCUAUUCUCAAACUUUAAAUAUGUAAGAAGUCCUUGUUACUUAAUUGAACGUGGACAGUUGAAUGUAUCGUUACUAGUGGGCCAUUUUUGGUAAGCAGAACUGGCGAUGCGGGAUGAACCGAACGCGGGGUUAAGGUGCCAGAAUAUACGCUCAUCAGACACCACAAAAGGUGUUAGUUCAUCUAGACAGCAGGACGGUGGCCAUGGAAGUCGGAAUCCGCUAAGGAGUGUGUAACAACUCACCUGCCGAAUGAACUAGCCCUGAAAAUGGAUGGCGCUCAAGCGUAUUACCCAUACCCCGCCGCUGGGGCAAGAUUUAAGCCCCAGCGAGUAGGCAGGCGUGGAGGUCCGUGACGAAGCCUGGGGUA
rnacentral:rRNA from 1 species